rnacentral:rRNA from 1 species
AUGCGAGAUGGUCUCCGGCCGCGGCGCCAGCCGCCUCCGCCGGCCAAGGAGACGAGGGCGGCCGGUUCCGGUCCUAAUACUUCCAAGAAGAGGAAGCUAGCGGGACACCAGCACCGUGAAGAGGUGCCGACGGCGGCAGUGGGCCUGCACAUCCACGGAGAGGUGCUAGCGCCGCCGCCGGGGGGGCCAGAUCCGAAAUCGACGGACAAGCCGCCCGCCGGAGGGGAGGUAGACGGAGGAGCCGUCGACCGCAUCAGCAACCUCCACGACGAUAACCUCCGCCACAUCGUCUCCCUCCUCCCCGUCAAGGACGGCGCCCGCACCCAGAUUCUCGCGUCCCGGUGGCGCCACCUCUGGCGCUCCGCCCCUCUCAAUCUCGAUUACCGUGAGUUCCCCUCCGGCUGCUUGCCCCCUUACAUCGAUUCCCGCAUUGCCGUCAUCUCGCACAUCCUUUCCUCCCACCCGGGGCCGGGCCGCCGCUUCUGCAUCGAACCGUGCUACCUCCACGCCCCGGAGGCUACCGUCGACGCCUGGCUCCGGUCCGCCGCUCUGGACAAAUUGCAGGAGCUUGAGACCGGCUCUACUAUAUGCAUUGACCCGCCGCCAGCGUCCACAUUCCGCUUCUCGGCCACCCUCUGUGUUGCCACCUUGGGAAAAUGCAGCCUCCCUGACGACAUCGUCCAAGGGCUUCACUUUCCCCUCCUUAAGCAGCUCGGGCUCGAUAGUGUCCGCAUCACAGAGUUCUCGUUGCACAGGUUGAUUGCCGGAUGCACACCUGCUCUGGAGUGCUUGCUGAUCGACCGAUGCUCUGGCUUCCGUAGCGUCCGGAUCAACUCCCUUAGCCUUGUAAGCAUCGGUGUGCGUCCAGAAUGCUAUUGUGCCAUCCCAUUUCGGGAACUCAUCAUCGAGAAUACCCCUUGUCUUGAGAGGUUGCUCCAUCUUGAUUUUUCCAUUGGUAUCCAUGUAUCAAUAGUCUCCGCGCCGAAGUUGCAGACCCUAGGCUGCCUUUCUGAUGUCACCUUGCCUACAUUUGCGGAGAGCUUAAGCGGCAUUUCUGGUGGGUUUCGUAACUCAGAUAAGGAUCGUCUUCCCAUGUUCGUGUUUGGCUCCACAGUUAUUAAGGGACCACGUGUUGAUAAGCUGACAACGGCAGUGCGGUCAGUCAAGACUUUAGCUGUACAGAUGGGAACUCUUAGUCUGGAUACAGUUAUUGAGUUGAUGAGAUGCUUUCCAUCCUUGGAGAAGAUGUACAUUCAGCCACGGUCAGAAGGGGAAAACAAUGUAUGGCGUCGUAAGCACCGCAAUUUCAUCAGAAGUUUUGAGAUUCCUAUAAAGACAAUAGCAUUGGAAUGUUAUGAGGGCUCCAAGUCUGAAGUUGACUUUGUCACAUUCUUCGUACUGAACGCGAGACUGUUGGAGUUGAUGACAUUUCACAUUCAGUCCCAUGUUUACACGGAGGAGUUCUUUGCAGAGCAGCGCAGGGAGCUUCAGCUGGAGAAAAAGGCUUCCAAAGGUGCCCAGUUUCAUUUUACAGUCGGUAGAUGUGUCCGCAGUGUUUGGACUAUGCGUCAUGUGCGUGAUUUGGGUUUAAUGGACCCAUUCGCAUGUUGA